AAAAUAACUGACCUUCGAACAGAGACACUCCAAAAAUAACCCCUGGUUUUCUGGAAAUCUUAAAUUAGUAUACUAUGGAGCGCAUUAAUCCUCAAUUUUUAAUGCAAACUCAUAGACACGUAAAUGUUGGCUAAAAAUGGUCCAGAUAUAUAUUUCUCUUUCACCAAAAGUUUCAUUUCUGCAAAUUUGUUGGUAAGUUUAAGUAAACAAGGAC
rnacentral:lncRNA from 1 species